CCUGUUCCGUCAUUAUGCAUAUAUUGUAGACUUGUAUACAAUAGUAAUGAAUUUACGUGUGAUUUAGGUGUACCUACGAACUCAUAAUUUUAUUAGCCAGUUUACUUUCGUUUGCGUUAACUGAACACUAACUUCUCAAAAGAUAUCAAUGAUCAAUGAUGGAAAGGGAGAUGGAAAGUUUUGCGAAGUCAUAGGGUUCAGGUUUACAAAAAAAGUGUACGAUGUCAAAGAAUAUCAAAAGUCGUUGUUGGGGUUGAAUUAGCGUCAGGUGAAAUAAGUGAACCUGUUACUGUCGAAGAAUAAAGAAAAUACAAGGAACUGCUGAUGAUAGUGAUUUCAGUCCAGUUACCACGUAUGUGACAUUCGAACCUGAUGAAAAAGUUAAAAGUAAAACAAUAGUGAUUGAUUUGAUUGAUGAUGAUGUCGAGGAAACGACCGAAGAAUUUACCGUCAGGCUAUCCUCGCCGAUGCACGUAGCGGUUAGCCAGCCUUCCAGAGUUCGGAUAAAAGACGAUGAUGACGCUGAAAUUUGUGACAUGGAUGUUGGUUUUCUACUCGACUCCACUGCAAGCAUGCGAAACUGUAAUUAUGAAAAAGAAAAGGAUUUUGUGAUAA